rnacentral:pre_miRNA from 1 species
UUUUUAGCAUAAGUAUGUCCCAUUGCAAUAUUUGGGUCAUACUUAUCCUAAAA